rnacentral:rRNA from 1 species
AAUUUUGGACAAUGGGGGAAACCCUGAUCCAGCAAUGCCGCGUGCAGGAUGAAGGCCUUCGGGUUGUAAACUGCUUUUGUACGGAACGAAAAGUCUUGGGCUAAUACCCCGGGAUCAUGACGGUACCGGAAGAAUAAGCACCGGAUAACUACGUGCCAGCAGCCGCGGUAAUACGUAGGGUGGAAGCGUUAAUCGGAAUUACUGGGGGUAAAGCGUGCGGAGGCGGUUGUGUAAGACAGUGGUGAAAUCCCCGGGGUCAACCUGGGAACUGCCAUUGUGACUGCAAGGCUGGAGUGCGGCAGAGGGGGAUGGAAUUCCGCGUGUAGCAGUGAAAUGCGUAGAUAUGCGGAGGAACACCGAUGGCGAAGGCAAUCCCCUGGGCCUGCACUGACGCUCAUGCACGAAAGCGUGGGGAGCAAACAGG